rnacentral:rRNA from 1 species
GUCUUUUUGAUUAUAAUUUAAAGUCUGGCCUGCCCACUGAUUUAAUUAAAUGGCCGCAGUAUAUUGACUGUGCAAAGGUAGCAUAAUCAUUAGUUUCUUAAUUAGAAGCUUGUAUGAAAGGUUGGAUGAGAAAAUGACUGUCUCUAUUUAAUUUAUAUUGAAAUUUAUUUUUAAGUUAAAAAGCUUAAAUGAUUUUAAAAGACGAGAAGACCCUAUAGAGUUUAAUAGUAGGAUUAUUUAUUGAUUUUUAGAAUUUAUUAAAAAUAAGUGGUUUGAUUAUUUGGUUGGGGUGACUGGAAAAUUUAAUUAACUUUUCUUAAUAUUUUACAUUAAUUAAUGAUUUUUUGAUCCAAUAAUUUUGAUUAUAAGAUUAAAUUACCUUAGGGAUAACAGCGUAAUUUUUUUUUAUAGUUCUAAUUGAAAAAAAAGUUUGCGACCUCGAUGUUGGAUUAAAGUAUGAUUUUGGUGCAGGAGCUAAAAUUCUAGGUCUGUUCGACCUUUAAAACUUUACA